rnacentral:lncRNA from 1 species
CGGUCACUUCCAGGAACCCGGCCUCUGGCUGUGCCAGCCCGGCGGUCAGAGCGCGCGGAGAGGUUCCCAGAAAUCACACGCGCCCUGGAGCGGAGACAGUCCCCACCCGGGCGGCCUGGGCAUCACUGUUUUCGUCUCAUCACCGGCCCCAGGCCACCCUCUCCUGACGCUGCCCCCUGGCCCCCAGCCCCUGACCCUGGGAAGAAAGUCAGCGCAGACACAUUGGAGCUGCCUCGGGUACAGCAGCCAAGGCCGACCUCGCCUUCCCUCAUUGCAAGCUCUCUCCUCCUUGCAAGCUGUCUGCUCAACUGUUAAGCUCUCUCUCUUUUGUGGAGGCCUCUGCCCUUUCUCUCUGGCCUCAUUUCCUUACAAAGUCAGACCAGGACUCCUCCAUGCGCAGUGACAGAAACCUGUCUGAAAACAGCUUAAGCCAAAAGAGAUUUUGUUGGUUUGCAUCACAAGGAAGUCAGAGGUGGAGCAGGCCUCACUGGGAGCUGGAAGGAAGACUCCAGCAGUGUGUGCUGUCUCUCUUCUCCUCUGGGAUCUGCGUGGGACUCUGUGUGGGCCUGGGACUGACAGUCCGCUCCCUAUGUGGCUAGGCCUGUAACGGGAACCCGGCAGCAGUGGGUGGUGGCCUGCACGGGGCUAAGCCAGGUGGCAGGGUUCUCCCUGGAGUCUGGGGCCCUUAGCGUCUGAUCCAGUCCUUCCUGCGGCGGCUGCACCGUGACCUCCACUUUCUACAACACCCCUGCAAGCAUAGGGUGACCACCCAGCAGCCGCCUUCCAGCUCCACCAGCUGCAGGGUACAGCUGGUCCCGGCUCGGAGCAGGCGCUGCCAGCAGCAAAGUCCCAUCUUGGAGCUGCACAUCUGUGCGACUGCUGACCAGAAGCUCUAGAGUCAACGGGACCACAUGAGAAAACAGGUGGAGGGUGAGAGAAGUCCGUGGGAGGGGGACCUCGUGCUGUCCAGGGACCCUUCAUUCCACCCCUUUUGAACUCCUGGGCUGGAGAAGCAUGAGCUACUGGGACACGGCAGCACCCUUUCUCUGGGCCUAUUGGCUGGUUAGGGCGGAGGAGGAGGUGCUCUGAGUUUGAAGGUUUUCAGGCUGGGCCAUGAGGGGUAAAGUCCAACCAACCAAAGCCGGGCUGGAAAGAUGACAGGGUCUCAUUUGUAUGGCAGUGAAAGAAAUUUCUUUCUCCGGAUUGUCUCGUAGGCCGAGCACUGGAUUCAUUUGGAAGAAAUACUUGGAUAAGUUGGUUAGGGUGAGGGUGGGGCAAGGAGCUGCUGAGAACCCAAGGUCUCAGAGCUCUGCCUUCCCAGGAGGCUGGGUGCUGCUCCCCACAGCCUUUUGCCUCUGAGCACUGUGGUGGGUGUGGGGAAUGUGGUUUAAGGUGGGAGCUGGGGCUGACCUGAAGUGCCCCGUAACAGAAGGGAAUUUGGAGCUAGGGAGGAAGGCAGCCAGCAAGGUGGGGUGCUGCUCAGGGAAAGGAUGGCGAUGCUGGCUCCAUCAGAGGGGACCUGGGGACCAGAAACAUCUAGUAGAGGCAGGUUGGUUGUUCUGGAACGUGCAAUAUUGUGCCCCAAUUUCCCUUCUCCUCUUUUUCCAUAGUAAUAAAUCCUACCAUGUUUA